rnacentral:lncRNA from 1 species
CGAGACGCGCGACGAUCGUCGAUCGCGACCGUUGACGAGGAGCUGCGCGCGGACGGAUCGGAGCGCGCCCUUGACGGGCGUGGUGCUGUGCACGAUGCGCUGCUUCGGCCACAGAUCGGUGGCGUCCAUCCCCGCGGCGUACGGCUUGGGGACGGAGUCGAAGCUCGCGGACCACUCCGACGUGUGCGUGAGGCGAGGCACCUUUUCCUGUUGCUGUUGAACGCGACGGCUUCCUCCUCCUCCUCGCGACGAUCCUCCUCCUCCUCGCGACGAUCCUCCUCCUCUCUCGCCGUCCCUCGAUUGGCGCUGCUUGCCGCCGCCGCGCACGCCGCCGCCGCCGCCGCGGCCGCCGCCCCCGGGCGUCGCCGCGUCCGCGUCGCGCGACGCGCGACGCGCGUCGAUCUUCGCUUGGAGGCUGGAGGGCUGCUGCCGUUGGGACUUAUCGCCGCCGCCUCCUCCCCCUCCUCCCCAUCGCGGACCGCUUCCGCCGCCCUCGCCGCCGCCGCCCGCGCCGCCGCCGCCGCCGCCCGCCGCGCCGUCCGCGCCCGCGGCGAAUCCGCGCGACGACGCGAACGCCGACGCGCGCCGGCGCGACGACGACGACGACGACGACGACGAUAUCUGAUGCGGCGACGCGGAGGAGAGAUCGCCCCGCGUCGUCGCGGUCGCGAACGCGCGCCUCGCGGCGUCGCGCGCGACGAGCGCGCGCGCCUCCGCGACGUCCCCGCGAACGUAUCGAAGCGCCGCGAUCGUCGAAGAAGACAACGCGUCCGCCGCGCGUCGACGCAUGAUCCUCGCUCGCCGCCGCCCCGCGCGCGCCCGGACGAAUGACGAUCAAUCCGUGCCCUAACGCGCGCUUCAAAGCAACCGACCGCGGAAGGGACGACAACAACUCGCGUUUUCUUUUCGGCGCGACGCUGAAGCCGCGCGGGCGUCGGACGCGCGCGGUCUACGCACGUGU